AUGGGCCUCCUCAGCUCCCUGCGGCCGCACCGCCGCGGGAGCGGCGGCGGCGGCGCGCAGUGGCAGUGGUCGUUCCUCGACGCCGUCUGGGCGGUGUUCCUCGUGGCCGUGGUCGUCUUCCUCGCGCUCGUCUUCACGCCGCGCCGCGGGGACACCCUCGCUGCCGCGGUGGUGCCGCCCUGUGCCGCCUCGGAGGUGGACCUCCUCCCCUGCGAGGACCCCCGCCGAAGCUCCCGCCUCAGCCGCGAGAUGAACUACUACCGCGAGCGCCACUGCCCCGCGCGGGGGGAGGCGCCCGCGUGCCUCGUCCCGCCGCCGCCCGGCUACCGCGUGCCCGUGCCCUGGCCCGAGAGCCUCCACAAGAUAUGGCAUGAUAACAUGCCUUAUGGCAAGAUUGCUGAAAGAAAAGGUCAUCAAGGGUGGAUGAAGCAGGAAGGCUCAUACUUCCUUUUUCCUGGUGGCGGAACUAUGUUUCCUGAUGGUGCCGAACAAUAUAUUGAAAAGCUUACCAAGUAUGUUCCACUAAGAAGUGGUCUCCUGAGGACAGGUCUUGAUAUGGGUUGUGGGGUUGCUAGCUUUGGUGGGUUUCUGCUCAAAGAGAAUAUCACGGCACUUUCCUUCGCCCCAAGAGAUUCACAUAAGUCGCAAAUACAAUUUGCGCUCGAGAGAGGAAUUCCUGCAUUUCUUUUGAUGUUGGGCACACGCCGUCUUCCAUUUCCAGCACAGUCCUUUGAUUUCGUCCAUUGCUCUCGAUGUUUGAUACCUUUUACUGCCUACAAUGGCAGUUAUUUGAUUGAAGUUGACCGUCUACUUAGACCGGGAGGUUAUCUGAUUAUAUCCGGACCCCCUGUGCAGUGGAAGAAGCAGGAGAAGGAAUGGGGUGAACUUCAAGCAAUGGCACGGUCUUUGUGUUACAAUUUGGUUACUGUAGAUGGCAACACGGCCAUUUGGAAGAAACCUAGUCAGGCGGCAUGUCUUCCUAACCAAAAUCAAUUUGGCCUUGAUUUGUGUAGUACUGAUGAUGAUCCAGAUGAAGCAUGGUACUUCAAGUUGAAGAAAUGCAUAAGUAAAGUUUCUCUGUCAGAAGAAAUAGCCGUUGGUUCCAUUGAUAAGUGGCCAAAUAGGCUGUCUAAACCUUCUGCUAGGGCCUCCUUUAUGGAUGAUGGUGUAAACUUGUUUGAAGCAGAUACACAGAAGUGGUUCAAAAGAGUAUCAUAUUACAAGAGAUCACUUGGUGUGAAGCUAGGUACUGCACUCAUACGUAAUGUCAUGGACAUGAAUGCAUUCUUUGGAGGAUUGGCGGCUGCUGUAGCGUCUGAUCCUGUGUGGGUUAUGAAUGUUGUUCCUGCUAAAAAACCAUUGACACUUGGCGUAAUAUAUGACAGGGGCCUGAUUGGAGUUUAUCAUGAUUGGUGUGAGCCUUUCUCAACAUAUCCUCGUACCUAUGACCUGAUUCAUGCUGAUGGAAUCAAUUCUUUGAUAAGCGACCCAAAGUCUGGAAGGAGCAGAUGUGACCUGUUUGAUGUCAUGUUGGAGAUGGACCGCAUAUUGCGCCCAGAAGGAACUGCUGUCAUACGGGACUCCCCAGAUGUGAUCAACAAGGCUGUACAGGUAGCUCGGUCGAUUCGGUGGACUACUCAGGUACACGACAGUGAGCCUGAAUCAAGCAGUGCUGAGAAAAUACUUGUAGCGACGAAAACAUUUUGGAAGCUACCAUUAACAUCGGGAUAG
rnacentral:rRNA from 1 species